GAAGCAAGCUGGACAAUCGUGGGAGUUUUCCCGAGGAAAGUCCGGACUCCACAGGGUAAAAUAGCGGCUAACGGCCGUCCACCGUGAGGUGAGGAAUAGGGCCACAGAGACGAGGCUAGGGUGUGGGCAGUUAUGCUGCACUGGUACGGCCACUUCCGUAUUGCGUCUUUUGGACAGCAUUCUAGAGUGAAACGCGGUAACCUCUAUUUGGAGCAACUCCAAGAAGCAUGCAUUAAGGGCUACCCGUCCGAGUAUGCGGGUAGGAGGCUUGAAUUAAUUAGUAAUAAUUAAUCUAGAUGAAUGAUUGUCGACUUUGUCUACAGAAUCCGGCUUAUAGGCUUGCUUCAUUU
rnacentral:RNase_P_RNA from 2 species